CCUUUGCUGAUGAGUAACCGCUUUUUUGACUUUCGUUCUUCUGAGCUCGCUGAAGCGACGUUUAUUGAGCUGAGGAGG